UGAACAUGUUACGAAGAAAAGUACGGGACAGCUCGACCGCAAGUCGAGGUGAUCCUUCCGCAUAACACUUGCAGAAGCCUUAGCAGCCUCAAAAGGUGCAGCCCCAACGACUCUAAUCAACAGGAGGGCUGCUGAAAUGCUAGUCUGCGUAAAGCAGGCGACACUAUCAAAUUGCGGGGACACCCUAAAGACCUCAACACCAAGCGUUUGCGGGAAACCGCGACGUGGCCGAGCUAAUAGCCCUGGGUAUGGUAACAGCUUGAGGUAUGAUACCCUCCACGGGGGGUUGAAAUGGGCAAUCCGCAGCCAAGUCCUACAGCGCUCCUUCCCGAGUGCCACGGAUGCUGUUCACAGGCCAAAUGGUAGUGGGUGACUCCAGCCGGGGUUGCUUAAGAUAUGGUCGGGCCCCCUCGGAAACGUUGGGGGGAAGUUUAUGCCGUCACACGUGGUCCGCAUGGCCUGACGUGACAUGAACCGAAACCGUUCCGUAGGUGAACCUGCGGAAGGAUCAUUACAGAUUCAUCAAGAUAGGAGCCAGCAGGGCGCCUGUACGCGCCGGGGACCACACGGGGGACUCUCCCCUGCCCCGGCCGCGGUGGCGUCACUCUGGCCGACUGAGAGCAUGUAUCGAAUGGGCUUCUUUGCGUUAUUUCGAAUGCUGAGAAACAGGCAGUCGUUCGAGCCAUCGGGGUGCAACAAAUCCCCGGAGGUCUCGGCGGCUGGUACCGCGGUCAAAUUCCAUGAAGACGGAGCAUAGACAGCUAACCCCUCUUGUCACUGCCGCAAAUUUCAAGUGCGUCCCCCGGGACCCCGGCUUUACAGAGGGACGCUUUGCUCUAGAGAGGUUAGCUGCGUACUUGGACCGAGAGGCCCGCAUCAUCGUUAAACUCACCAGUUGUAGGAAGGUGGGGCGCCGGUGCGGGGACCGAUCGGUUCAGCCUUGAUUCUAAUGCUCGCACACGCGAGAUCUGGGCCGUCAGACCGCCCACUUGCCUACUGGCGUGACGGGUUCCGGACUGGGACACUACCAACAUCUAGACGAACGCGGGGACAAAGGCGCCGUAAGCUCUGCGGCGUCACCCUGCGGGGCUGUAAGUCACGACUCACCUUCCACACGGCGUAAUUCUGCCAUCGGAGUUGGUUUGGAUCUUCGGAUCAGGUGAGGGCUUUUCAGUGGCCCGUCGACGAGUUGGGUCCUGUCCGUUUCCUGCGCGUGUGGGAUCUCAGCCGGGCCUGGGGCGUAGUAUAGCCCCUUAAAGCAGGUUUUUUUGGAAAGGAUUCUUGUGCCUCCCAAAAUUUACCGGUGGAUGCGUGAUGUGUUCCGUGGCCGACAUACCAGGAGCCAUCAGAUGUCCUACUGCCGUGUGCGGGUCCCGUUCCAUCGUCCCUCGGACGCUCUGGAAAUCGAUACAUCUCAGCUGGUCAGCGACCUGCUAGUUAAAAAUUUCUUCGCGCCGCCUGCGAGUCUGCCCGGACGUCUGACGACGACGGGAAACGUGCUCUCGCAGGAGGUCUGCGGGCCACCCAUGCCCGCGGACAGUCUGGCGUAAGAGAUCCUCUAUACCAACUCCCGGACCCCUUGUCUAUGUGUACUCUCGUUUCCUCGGCGGGCUCGCCCGCCAACGGGGACAAACAAACCCAUUUUUGCAGUGGAAGUCUCUGUCUGAACAAUACAAACCUUAUUAAAACUUUCAACAACGGAUCUCUUGGUUCUGGCAUCGAUGAAGAACGCAGCGAAAUGCGAUAAGUAGUGUGAAUUGCAGAAUUCAGUGAAUCAUCGAAUCUUUGAACGCACAUUGCGCCCUUUGGUAUUCCAUAGGGCAUGCCUGUUCGAGCGUCGUCUCAAACCUUCAAGCCUAGCUUGGUGUUGGGUGACUGUCCCGCCUCGCCGCGUGGACUCGCCUCAAAGUCAUUGGCAGCAGACUCGGUAGCUAAUUGCGCAGCACAUCGCGCCAGAGGCUCCGGGCCCGCUCUCCACGAGCACAGUCUCAUCAGUGACCUCGAUCAGUAGACCACGUAUGCC
rnacentral:misc_RNA from 1 species